UCCCAUUAUCAGAAUGGCUUCUGGGAAAACCUCUGCUUUCCACUGUGACAACUCACCUGGUAUUGUGACACAAGGUGAUGGCCAGUAUCAACAAGGAUUCUUCUGAAUCACACGCUUUGGAGCUGUAGGUGUGGGGUUGGUGGUGGUGGUUUCUCUAUUAUCCGUGUACUUCCCGAUUUCAUCUGAAAAUGACCUUUUGAUCUUCACAUCCCCAGUCCAUCCAAUAGAAACGUCAGCCUCUGAUUCCCUGCCUUAUCAUUUCUUUCAGGUAUUAUCUGAAAUGCCUGGAGGGACUUCUCCUGUGGAUGGCAGGGGCACACACGCUUUGCUUGUGGCAUCGGCACAAUCUCCAUGGCAGAGCCAUCUCGCUGGCACCUUCCAUGUCAGUCACCCUCCCUGCUUCCUGUCCUUCUGAUAUGACUUGUGGAAUAUGACUCUUGGAACUCAUAGGCCAAAAGGCUUCCUGCUCUCUCAUCAACAUUCAAAACAAACCUUCAAAAUUGUGCCCUAAAAGGCAUUAGAGUAAUAAAAGGAAGACAACAGUAAGAAGGAGGCAGAGAGAGAAGAAAGAAGGAAGAAUAUUAAGCAUGGGGUUUAAGAAGAUUAAGGAAAGUGAUAAUGAUGGUAGUAGAUGGAUGGUUGAGAAAGAUGCAGAAAAGAAAGCAAAUCUGAGCUCUUCCUUUGCUAGCUAUGCAUGUGUGGAUUCCGGUCACAAUAGGACACUAAUGGGAAUCCUUAUCCAGAGUUGGCUUCAUGUCAGGUGCCGAGUUCUGAGUUCCUGGACCAGUGUGGCAUGCUGCACCCAUUGUCCUCAUGGUGUGGAAUCGGAAGCAGGCUGUAAACGUGUGUUCCUUCUGGUUGUUCUGGUUGCUGUGGAGUGUACUCCAUCUUCAUCACCUUCUGAGCUGGCCUGAAGCUUUACCAUGGCUCCUUGGAUUCCUGAAUUAAAGCCCAAUGUGGCCCUCUGCUGUUGGACUGGCCAAUCUGGCCUGUCUUGCCCUGCAGCUGCCAGUCUUUGUCACUCCUUGUGCCUCAACAGGCCCAGCAACCACUGCCAGUUCUGCUGUUCACUUCCCAACUGACGGCUUAACAACUCCUGUGGCGUCUUCUUCUGCCGUCACAUUUCACUUCCGUGCAGGCUCCAAAUCUCUGACAUACCUGCUUUCUGCCUCUCUUAGCAGCUCUCCGCUCAGCUGUUGGCACUUCCAUACACCGACAUACAGCCAAACAUAAGGUAAACUCGUGGCCCUACCACACUGACUUUGAUCAUUUCUCUCACCCCUUGGACAUGGCACCGAUACUUGAUCUUGCUGGGACUCUUCCUUAGAUAAUUUCCCCCCUUGCUGCUUUGGGGUAGGGAGUACCCCCACUCUUUCCUGCUCUGGGGAGGGACAGUGGAUGGGGCCACCUCCUGCCUCCUGUUGCCUUCUCUUACCACCUCUGAGCCAGGCCAGCCCAGCAGGUUCCCAGCCUGGCUCAGAUUCACUAGAAUGCUUUUGUUACCACCUGCUUAUCUGCCCUUCACCAUUGCAGCACUUUUUUUUUUUUUGACAGGUUGACAGUGUUUGCUUUGCUGGGUUUUGGGUAAAAAAAAAUGUCUACAGAUCGGAGUAGAUGUAACUAAUGUAAGUAGGGAAAAUAAAACUUAUUGUGAGGCAAGAGGUAUGGGAAAGGUCAGAUGAGAGAAUCUAAAUGGAGAUAUUAGUAGGAGUAAGUAAGAAUGAAUAGGAGUGAAAUGAAAGACUUCAGGGGUAUGGGAAUAUGUAAGAAUGAGAUUGUGAAUGUUAAAAGAUUAUACUUGACCAUGAAAUCUAACCUACCCAGAACCUUGACAUUCGACUGGUUACAUGCCCUAUACACUUAACAUAAUUUAACAACCCAUUUUAUUUAAUAGAUAAAUAUUCUAGAAAAAUGAAUGAGAAUAAAAUUCAGAGAGGAAGUCUUCUAAUUCCUUAAAUAUAAUUAGUGAAGUACAUGGAGGUAAGGCUGAUAUGUAGAUCAGCAAAAACAAAUAAAUGAACAAAAACCUAUAGCUUUAACAUGAACUUUAAACAUAAUUUUAUCAUAUCCCAAAUAAAUGAUACAAUUGGUGACUAUGAGUGCAAACAUCUUGAGAAAUAGUGUGCUAAAACGUUGCGGGCCAGGAUGGUUUUUCACAAAAGUAAAUGGUUUCUUUUUGAAAUAAGACAAUAUAGGACAACUCCCCCAGCAAUAAAUUGGGAUUAUUCCCUCCAUGACAAAGAAGGGGAAAAGGGUUAUUCAAAGCAAAACAAAAAAAAAAAACCAAUAAUCAAAAAAAAUUAAAAUUUUAAAAAAGAAAAAACGGGUAAAAAAAGAUUUUAAAUGCCUGGGCAAUCACCAAAAUUUAUAGCUUUAGCAUAUGUAUUGUCUAUAUCCCUGAUCACACUUUUAAAUUGGCUUCAACAUAAAUUAAGGUUUAAAAAGAAUUUUAGGUUUUUUUGAAAUUGUGGACAAGAGUCGGUAACAGUGGGAGGCUUAGGGAGGCGGGUUGGGUGUGGCAUCCUUUGUGUUACUAUAAAACCCUUAAUGUUUUAAGGAGCAUUAUAUUUUUGAUUAUACUCAACUAUUUUCCAGACCAUUAAUUAUUUGUAUCAGUGAUGAGGAAUUCAAAAAAAAUAAAAAAAAAACUCUAAAAUUCAGUUGUUGUUGUUUUCCUGAUAAAAGAUUGAAGAGAUUCCCAUUCCAGCAGGAGUAACUUUAAAAAAAAAAAAGCUAAAAAUAUUAAAAAGAUUGAGGGGGAUUCUGCAGGUUGCAGUUUUAGUAAAUGGUCCUAUCCUUAUAACAGAAGGACCCGGGAAUAGUAAACAAUCCAACAAACAAACAACAACUACUAAAUAAUCUGCAGGUGAUUCUAACGCAGUACGUCUACAUCAGUAGUCCUUAUCAUUCACCUACAUAGAGAGUCCCUACGAUGUGCUCCGGAAUCUCCAUGGCACAGAUCAUGGAAGUGGAUCCUAUUUCACCACAAAAGCAAUAUCAUAAUCAGGGCAGGGGCCUAUCAGCAAGGACUCAGAAGUAAAUAAAUUAUAGAUGUGAACAAAAUGUGUAAUGUAGGCAAAACUAUAACUAUAUGGCUAUAUAAUAAGCUAAAUAGUUAAAUAUACUCUAUGUCCUAAAAAAUGGGUCUUCAUACACUGUGUACUUUCCUUACCAACAUAUCAUAAUGAAAAUGUAUUUCAUACAGAAAAUGAAAGCAUGUGAGCUAGAAUACAUUUUUAGUCUUUAUGGCUUUUAUUUUAUGAUUUCACAGAUCAUUGAAAAUUAGCACCAAGAGCAUUUAGUCCAGCUUAUUUUAUUUUAUUUUAUUUUUUAAGACAGAGUCUCACUCUGUUGCCCAGGCUGGAGUGCAGUGGUGCAAUCUUGGCUGACUGCAACUUCCACUUCCCACGUUCAAGUGAUUCUUCUGCCUCAGCCUCCUGAGUAUCUGGUAUUACAGGCAUGUGCCCCCACCAUGCCCAGCUAAUUUUUGUAUGUUUAGUAGAGUUGAGGUUUCACCAUGUUGCCCAGGCUGGUCUUUUUCUUUUUCUUUUUUAAUUUUAUUUAUUUAUUUAUUUUUUGGCCAGGCUGGUCUUAAACUCCUGACCUCAGGUGAUUCACCCACUUCGGCCUCCCAAAGUGCUGUGAUUACAAACAUUAGCCACUGCACCCGGCCAAUUGAUUAAUUUUAUAGAUGAGAAAACUGAGAGCCCAAAGAAGUUAAAUGAAUUGUGACAGCAGAGUCAGGACUAGACGACAGGACCACUAAAUCCUAGCACCAAACCUCUCUCCUCUUACCCUUAUCUCAGCCUAGCUGCUUAGUAAUGCAUUUACUGCUCUUCAUAACAUACAGAAAAACUUUUGGGUCAUUACUUGAAUAGCUUAGAUUAUCUUUAUUUUUAUUUUACCUUUUUAAAAAAACAUGUAUUUUAGGUUCAGGGAUACAUGCGCAAGUUUGUUAUAUAGGUAGACUGUGUGUAACAGGGGUUUUGUGUAGAAAUAAUUUUGUCACCCAGGUACUAAACAUAGUACCCAAAACAGUACCCGAUCCAUAUUCUUUUGUGAUGCCCUCCCUCCUCCCCACUCCCCUCUCAAGUAGGCCCCAGUGUCCGUUUUAGCCCUCCUAGUAUCUAUGUGUUCUUGUUGUUUAGCUCCCACUUAUAAGUGGAAACAUUGCCUAUUUGGUUUUUUGUUUACUCAGGAUAAUGUCCUCCAGCUCCAUCCCUGUCCCUGCAAAGGAUGUGAUCUCAUUCUUUUUUAUGGCUGCGUAGAAUUCCAUAGUGUAUAUAUACCACAUUUUCUUUGUCCAGUCUACCAUUGGUGGACAUUUAGGUUGAUUCCAUGUCUUUGCUGUUGUGAAUAGUGCUGUGAUGAACAUAAACAUGCAUGUGUCUUUAUCUUUUAAAACUAUAUAAUAAAUUCUGAAAAUAUGCCUUUUUUUCUUAAUCUGUUUCUUUAUGCUAAAUAGAUGAGAUUAAAAUCACAGCUGUGUUUCAGUAAAUUGUCUGAAAUCUUUCAUUCUCUCCAGGAGAUGUAAAUUUUUAUGUAGCCAGACUGUCCAGUGAACAAGCAAAAG
ensembl:lincRNA